rnacentral:rRNA from 1 species
GACGAACGCUGGCGGCGUGCUUAACACAUGCAAGUCGAACGGAAAGGCCCUGCUUUUGUGGGGUGCUCGAGUGGCGAACGGGUGAGUAACACGUGAGUAACCUGCCCUUGACUUUGGGAUAACUUCAGGAAACUGGGGCUAAUACCGGCUAGGAGCUCCUGCUGCAUGGGGGGGGUUGGAAAGUUUCGGCGGUUGGGGAUGGACUCGCGGCUUAUCAGCUUGUUGGUGGGGUAGUGGCUUACCAAGGCUUUGACGGGUAGCCGGCCUGAGAGGGUGACCGGCCCCAUUGGGACUGAGAGACGGCCCAGACGCCUACGGGAGGCAGCAGUGGGGAAUAUGGCACAAUGGGCGGAAGCCUGAUGCAGCAACGCCGCGUGCGGGAUGACGGCCUUCGGGUUGUAAACCGCUUUCGCCUGUGACGAAGCGUGAGUGACGGUAAUGGGUAAAGAAGCACCGGCUAACUACGUG